CCUACGGGUGGCUGCAGUCGGGGAUUUUGCACAAUGGGGGAAACCCUGAUGCAGCGACGCCGCGUGGGCGAAGAAGUAUUUCGGUAUGUAAAGUCCUUUCAGCAGGGAAGAAGAUAUGACGGUUACUGAGUAAGAAGCACGAGCUAAAUACGUGCGAGCAGCCGCGGUAAUAAGUAGGGAGCACGCGUUAUUCGGAUGUACUGGGUGUAAAGGGAGCGCAGGCGGCUCGGCAAGACUGUUGUGAGAGCCCGCGGCCCAACCGCGGGACUGCAUUGGGAACUACCGGGCUGGAGUGCCGGAGGGGGAGGCGGAAUUCCUAGUGUAGCGGUGAAAUGCGUAGAUAUUAGGAGGAACACCAGUGGCGAAGGCGGGCUACUGGACGGUGACUGACGCUGAGGCUCGAAGGCGUGGGGAGCAAACAGGAUUAGAUACCCGAGUAGUC
rnacentral:rRNA from 1 species